UACGGAGGGUGCAAGCGUUAUCCGGAUUCACUGGGUUUAAAGGGUGCGUAGGUGGAUCUAUAAGUCAGUGGUGAAAGCCCCGAGCUCAACUUGGGAAUUGCCAUUGAUACUGUAGAUCUUGAGUGCGGUUGAGGUAGGCGGAAUGUUGCAUGUAGCGGUGAAAUGCUUAGAUAUGCAACAGAACACGGAUUGCGAGGGCAGCUUCCCGAGCCGAUACUGACACUGAUGCACGAAAGCGUGGGGAUCAAACAGG
rnacentral:rRNA from 1 species